UCAGCCACAAAACCUCUAAAGGCAUUUGGCACAAAAGCUGGCUUGAUCCUUGCUGGGGAUCCCACCCGGACUGACUUCUAGAUUGGGAACAUGAUCCAUUAGAAAGGAUACUGCCCUUGGGGUCAGGAGGCUCUGGUUAGAACCCUAAUUAUUCUUUCCCUUUUGGAGGACUUUACCUCUUCACUUGCAAAAUGACUAAAUUUUAUCUAAACAUCCUUUCAACUAUACCAUUCUAUGAUCCUAUGAUCCCACCCUUCAAAGCCCCCACAAUAUUCUCCCCACCCAUUCACCAAGUGGUCAUUUAGUCUUGGUUUGAGGAUUCCUGCCAGACACACCAUUGCCCCUUACAGAAAGACAAAAAUCUGCCUUUUAGAAACUUCCAUCCAUUUCUUUGAGUUCUAGGGUUAAACAGGACAAGUCUUGGCAAAUAGCAACCUUUCGGAUAUUUAAAGAAAUUAAACCCCAUCCCACCCCGCUCCUAAACCUCUUCAGGAUACACAGCCUCAGUUCUGCUCGUGUCUAAUAGUAUUCCACAGGAAGGAGCAGAUACCAGUGAUCUACCCCCCAUUCCCCACAGAAGCUCUUGUGCUCCACCCCACUGAGCAGAAGUCCCGAAGAAGAAGCCGGCUGUCUGGACUGGAACAACCAUCCAUCCCCUGCUCUUUCCUUGGAUGGCCAUAGAAACCCAUUCAUCCAAGGUGGGAAGGCAUGGCCAGGAGCUAUAUCACAACCCCUCUCAGGCUCUGGAUGUUCUGAUUCACGGACUGAGCCAACCUGAAGCCCAAGAUUGUAGUCAUUCGAGUUCCGUAGAUAUUUAACUCCUAUUCACCUCAUUGUUCUGGUCCCUCCUCUCCAAGUGCAUUCCAGACUCUACAUCUCUCUCUCCAAACGGAAAUCAGACCUGAAUAUAAUAUUCAGACAGGGGAAUGAUUAGUUUAGGGAUAGCAGCAUAUCCCCUGUUCUCAACAUAAGCUAUUAAUCUAGCUUACUUUGGGAUUCAGGGUUCUCUGCAUACUGUGUGCCACGGAAACUUGCUUGACAUAAAUGACUCCAUCUUGAAUUUUUCAAUAAAAUGCACAUUUCUAGUCCAUUUACAUGUAAUCUGAGUGGGUAGAUAUGAUAGCUAGAUGCUUAUGCUGAACACGCCUGGUUACUUUGAAUAAACAAUUGUUUGUACUGGUUAA